rnacentral:lncRNA from 1 species
UGCUCAGUGGGUUAAGGAUCCGGAGUUGCCAUGAACUGUGGUGUAGGUUGCAAACACAGCUCCGAUCCCGAGUUGCUGUUGCUGUGGUAUAGGCUGGCAGCUGCAGCUCCAAUUUGACCCCUAGUCAGGGAAUUUCCUUGUGCUGCAAGUGCGGCACUAAAAAGAAAAAAAAAAAAAAGGAUUUUGGAGAUCAUCUUUGUCCAACCCACCUCAUGUUGUAGCUGGAAACAGAGUUUAAGAAAAUGAAGGAAAAACAGCUAAAAUUCAGGUUUGCCAAUUACCAUCUCUUGCCACUGGGAGGCAGCACAGCGUAAUGGUCGGGCCUAGCCCCCGAGGCAGGCAGGCCCUUAUCUGAUUCCUCAUUUUGCCACUCUGAGCCCUGGGCAAGUGAUUUCACUUUAUCAAGCUUUAGUUUUUUUCUUCUGUAAAAUAAGAAUAGUUAUCUAUUUUAUAGGGUUGUUAUCAGGAUUAAAAUAAAACACUGUACAGAUAGCAUUGAAAGCAGAAUCUGGCACAUCCUAAAGCCUAGCAACUGUCACUUCUUGCUAGUUAUAGUUUCUGUACCUUUUCCGUAUGUUUGCCUUUAAUUUCCACGCCAAUUACUUCAUUCUGGAAUAACUUGUAGAUGUUUAUUGUAUAUGCGACACCCACAAACUUUUGGGUCCUUUCUUUUGCAUCCCUCAACCCUUUCUUAUUUUGCAACUCAACCACAUUGCAUUUUGGGAAUUCCGAUUCCUGCUCAUUUUUGUUUGUCUCCUAAAAAAUUUACUGCCCCCCCCCCUUUUCCUUAACUCCUGGUAAAAAUUUCUGGCAAUCACUCAGACAUGGCAGGUAGAGGACUCUGUGACUGGCACCCCAUGACCUCCCCCGCCCCACCAGGAUGGGUAUUGUUAGGGUAUCCUGACGAUUUUAAUGAGGGUUAUCUUCCAUUUCCGUGGGUUUGGGGUAACUGUCCGAUAUGUCUGUGUAUCUCUGGGGGUGUGGGGUGUGAAGUCGGGGGGAGGUGGAGACUUGUGAGCAGGUCAGCUCUGUGUGGGAGUGGGGGCCUUUCAGCACUGAUGGCAGACAAUUCAAAGACUGGAACCACAGGGCGUUAAUUCCCCAGGACCUAUUUCAAUUCCUGUUCUAGUCAAGUUCUGGCCCUUUUCUCUUCUCACUUCCAAUCCUUUUCCAGAUUAAAAGGGUGGCACAAGUAAAAUAAGCUCCUACUAAAUAUCCUGUGAUGGUGAUAACCAUCAAUGCAUUAUUUCAAGACAUGUGUGAUGAGAAGGGGUGAAUCGUACCUUGUCACCAGCAGAGCAUUUUUGGAGGUGAUGGGUAAUUCCGUAUUCCGAGUGUCAUACCAUGAAUAAUGUGAGAGAAAUGAAAAUAUUUGGCAACAGGCAGAAUCUGGGAGGUGGGAGCCAUCCCACAGGAUGUAGGUCCUUUGUGUCACUUUCAGACUUGAUGUCUUUGUCAUCAGUUCUAGUGUGCUCCAUUACUAAUGCCACCAUCUGGUGAAUUCUAGCCCUCUUGGCAUUUCUUCUAUUGAGGAUUCUUAUGAUCUUAGUCUAUAAAAGAAAAACAAACGUGCACUCUGUGGGCUGGGACCGGAAAGUGAGUUUAGUUCUGCCUCUUAAGAAGGUGUCUGUGCAUCUCGGCCCUGCUCCUCUCUUUCUGACUUGCAGAACGUAUAUUUAGCGCAAGGAACAUAUGUUCUUCCUGCGUGAUUUCUAGAAUAUAGCACAUUGGUUCAAAAGAAAAAAAUGGGACAGUGGGACAAGUGUAUAACCCUAAAGAAAAUUCUGAGAGUUCCCACUGUGGCUCAGCGGGUUAAGGACCCGACAUUGUGAGGAUGUGGGUUCCAUCCCUGGUCUUGCUCAGUGGGUUAAGACUCUUUCAGCGUUGUUGAAAGUGUGGUGUAGGUCACAGAUGUGGCUCAGAUCUGGAUUGUCUGUGGCUGUGGUGUAGGCCAGCAGCUGCCAUAUUCAACUCCUAGCCUGGUAACCUCCAUAUGCCGCAGAUGCAGCCCUAGAAAUGGCAAAAAGACAAAAAUAAAUAAAUAAAUAAAAAUUUUAAAAAAUACAAAUGAGUUUAUUUACAAAGCAGAACCAGACUCACAGACAUAGAAAACAAACUUAUGGUUACCAAAGGGGGAAGGGGCAGGCGGAGGGAGUUUGGGAUUAUAGAUACACACUACUAUAUAUCAAAUAAAUAAACCACAAGGAUUUACUAUAUGGCAUAGAGAACUAUAUUAACGAUCUUGUAAUAAUGUAUAAUGGAAAGAAUCUUACAAGUAAUAUAUAACUGAAUCACUUUGCUGUAUACCUGAAACUAGCACAAUAUUGUAAAUCAACUACACUUCAAUGAUUAAAAAAAAAAUCAUGCCCACAUCAUGGUCCAGUCGGUGGACGCCCUCCUCCACUCUCACUUCGGCAAGAGCUGCUCUUGGACUUUAAAUGUUGAUGCAAGUGAUCAGACAACCAGGUCUGAAAGUAACGGAUUUACCAAGUUUGUACAUGGUAAGGCAUUGGGUAUGUUAAAUCAAGGCAGUAUCCUUCCCAAACUCCAGCACGGCUGUUUGAAUGGAUCCUAGGCAGGGAAAUCGUCCUUCUUAUAACUGGAAAUCAGAAGGACCACGUAAUUGUCAACCCAGCAUCCUUAAUUUCAAAAUAAUUUCUCUUACCAUCCUUGCUCUUCUUGCCCAAAUCUACUCAGUGAUUUCGAUGCCUGAGGUGUUCUAUAUACUUAGCCAAGGAUGGGAGGGUUGCAAGCCAGCAACAGAGAAUAAACUCUGUAUUCAAGAAGAGUCUUUUCACUAAGGAAGAUACAAAGUCAAAUUGAACAAAUUCUCUUUCUUCUUCUUCUUUUUUUAAUCCUUUUAGGGCCACACCCGCGGCAUAUGGAGGUUCCCAGGCUAGGGGUCUAAUCGGAGCUAUAGCUGCCAGCCUGCACCACAGCCACAGCAACGCCAGAUCCGAGCCAUGUCUAUGACGUACACCACAGCUCACAGCAGUGCUGGAUCCUUAACCCACUGAGCGAGGCCAGGGAUGGCAACCUCAUGGUUCCUGGUUGGAUUCGUCUCUACUGCACCAGGACAGGAACUCCAUGAACAAAUUUUCUUAUCAAUGUACUCCUGAGUUGGAAAAUAUAGGACAAAAAAAAGGCUCUGGGGAGUUCCUGCUGUGGCUCAGUGGGUUAAGGACCUGACAUGGUCUCUGCGAGGAUGCAGAUUCAAUCCCUGGCCUCGAUCAUUGGGUUAAGGAUCCAGUGUUGCUGGCAGCUGUGGUAUAGGUCACAAAUGCAUCUUAGAUCACAUAUUGCUGUGGCUGUGGUAUAGGCCAGCAGUUGCAGCUCUGAUUUGACCCCUAGUCUAGGGAUUUCCAUGUGCCGCAGGUGAGGCCAUAAAAAGAAAAAAAAAAAAAUUAAAACGGCUUUCAACUUCAGAAUCACUGUAGCAGAAUACAAGCAAAAUACAUGCUAAGAUGUCUGGCUGCCAAAAACCAACUAGAGUAUAAAAGCACUACAUUUUUUAAAAGACUCGAACAUAAAUUCAUUUGCCCUGAAAUUGUCAGCUUCUUUAAAAGGUUCACGCAGUGACUAGGAAAUAAAAAAUACAAAUUAGGGGAGUUCCCUGGUGGUGCACCAGGUUAAGGAUCUAGCAGUGUCAUUGCUGUGGCUCCGGUUGCUGUGGCUUGGGUUCAGGCCCUGGCCCUGGAACUUCCCCUUGCUGUGGGCACAGCCAAAGAAAAAAAUUCAGAUUGGGGAGCAACUGAAUAAUGUAGACAGCAAAUGCAGGCGGGAGGGGUUGCUGCCCUGAGUUCUCCUGCUCCAGCAACUGACAAUUAAUACUGUGUUUCAUUCAUAAUAUCUGUGACUUCAGCCAGCCCAGGCAACCAUGGGUCACCCACCUUGCCUUCCAUCUUUCCUUAGGGGGAACGGCAGAGCCACCUCUGAAUUUAUCCUGAAAGUGGUGUUCGGAAGGCAGAGGCAUGAGGGAGAAAGGUGAGGCAUGUCUCCGGAGCUCACACUCCAUUCCCGUUUCUUCCCAAGUCUAGUCCAUGGCUUCUCCUGCCCGAGUACACUCCUGAGGCCACCUGGGGUCUGGCCGCUUCCCUUCGCUCAGAGCAUUUUCUCAACUGCAGCCACUGGGCCGCCCUCCCAGGACACAGCAGGCUCGUCCUCCUGUGGGCCCGCCCCCUGCCCCCUUCCUGGGUCCUAGUUGGACCGGGCUGCCUCUGUCACCCAGGUGACACUGUGGCCCAGGCUCGGAGCAACUCUAGGCUUUAAGAAGUGUAAUUCG